rnacentral:lncRNA from 1 species
ACUAUUCAUCUAGCAGUUUAGCUGCUACAAACUGACGUUUUUCGCCGGAGCCCUUCUGAAUGUCCGUUUGCACUCAAAUUUGACAGUCAGGCUCGGUUUUACUUAAUAAGUACAAAGAAAUUUUAAUCUUUUAAUUUCGACCAUGUUUGGUCACCGAAAGUUCUACCGAACUGUAAUCUCUAGCAGAUAGCAGUCGGAUUUUAUUUUCCACCUUCCGGGUGUCGAAUUGACAUGAAAUUUUAAAUCCAGCCUCACAAAAAUAAUCCCGACAUAUUCCCAAGUUUUCAUAAUUUUCUGACACUGUUUAUUUUCUGCUAAAAUAUCAGCCCCGUUUCCAACAGAAAAUUCUAAAUCUUCUGUUUCAGGUCCGAUUUCAGCACAAGUCAUUUCUGACUUCUAUUUUUCUUCUCUAAGUCAAAUAAAAAUAGUAUCUCACACUAUUUUUAUUUAUAUUUAUUUUAGAUUAAAAAUCCGAUAUAUUACAUCCCACUAUAACUUCAUAAUUUCAGAAGUUCGGUACCUUACACACACUUUCUCACUUUAGUAUCCAGUGGUUUAAAGUGUAUCAAGUUAGUACUCUGUGGUUUCAUUUUUGUAUCAAGUUAGUACCCUGUGGUUUUAUUUUUCUAUUUUUAUUAUUCAUUUUGAGGUAUUUUUUUUGCUAAAUCAAUAACAAAGUUAAAACUAAAGGGUACUAAAAUGAAUAUUCGAUAAAUCUAUGUAGGAUAUCUGAAGUUUUUUGUAUAUAAUUUAACGAAAUAUUAAACCACAGGGUACUAAAGUGAGAAAGUGCAAAACCACAGGGUACUAACUUGAUACAUACUAAAGUGAGAAAGUGCGAAACCACAGUGUACUGACUUGAUACACUUUAAACCACAGGGAACUAAAGUGAGAAACUGUGUUUAAGGGUAUUUGAAGUUUUCCCAAAAUAAAAAAUAUUUUUUCUACAGGAAAGGCAAAAAAUUAUAGAAGAAGGGAAAAAAAGAUGAAAUUGCACUGUUAAAAUAAAGUUACACUAUUUUAAAAAAAAAUUGCACUAUUUUAGAUGAAAGUUGCGCUCUUUGAGACAGAAAUUAUACUCUUUGGGAUGAGAGUUACACUCUAUAGGCGAAAGUUGCACUAUUUGAGUGAAAUUUACACAAUUUCUUAUUCUCUUCUUCUCCUCCGUUUUCUCGUCCUCGUCCUCCUUUUUCCUCUUCUACCUUUUCUGCCGUCAAGCGCCCUGUCAUGCCCCGGGGUUCUUUUGCAAAUCCUUUUUAAGGAAAGUUAGCAGAAAACGUGUAGAUUUUUUUUUUUGAAAUAUCUUUUGUUACGGAUUUUAUGUUUGCAUAUUUCGUGAUGUUAGUCGGAGUCUUGAAUGGUUGAAAAAGAAGAGAUGAAAAUCAAAGACUCGAAGACUCAAAACAUGAAUGCACGAUGCUCGGUAAGUUUAAAUACUAUUGAUGAUAAUUUAUAAAUGUUUAAAAGUGUUUGGAAGACUUAGGAUGGUUUUUAAAUAUGAAUAUGGACGAAACUGAGCCUUAUCAGGGUUCAGGGACCG